GUGGGGAAUAUUGGACAAUGGGCGAAAGCCUGAUCCAGCCAUGCCGCGUGUGUGAAGAAGGUCUUCGGAUUGUAAAGCACUUUAAGUUGGGUGGAAGGGCAGUAAGUUAAUACCUUGCUGUUUUGACGUUACCGACAGAAUAAGCACCGGCUAACUUCGUGCCAGCAGCCGCGGUAAUACGAAGGGUGCAAGCGUUAAUCGGAAUUACUGGGCGUAAAGCGCGCGUAGGUGGUUUUGUAAGUUGGAGGUGAAAUCCCCGGGCUCAACCUGGGAACUGCCUGCAAAACUGCAUGACUAGAGUACGGUAGAGGGUGGUGGAAUUUCCUGUGUAGCGGUGAAAUGCGUAGAUAUAGGAAGGAACACCAGUGGCGAAGGCGACUACCUGGACUGAUACUGACACUGAGGUGCGAAAGCGUGGGGAGCAAACAGGAUUAGAUACCCCGGUAGUCC
rnacentral:rRNA from 1 species